rnacentral:rRNA from 1 species
UGAACGCUGGCGGCAGGCCUAACACAUGCAAGUCGAACGGUAACAGGAAACAGCUUGCUGUUUCGCUGACGAGUGGCGGACGGGUGAGUAAUGUCUGGGAAACUGCCUGAUGGAGGGGGAUAACUACUGGAAACGGUAGCUAAUACCGCAUAACGUCGCAAGACCAAAGAGGGGGACCUUCGGGCCUCUUGCCCUCGGAUGUGCCCAGAUGGGAUUAGCUAGUAGGUGGGGUAACGGCUCACCUAGGCGACGAUCCCUAGCUGGUCUGAGAGGAUGACCAGCCACACUGGAACUGAGACACGGUCCAGACUCCUACGGGAGGCAGCAGUGGGGAAUAUUGCACAAUGGGCGCAAGCCUGAUGCAGCCAUGCCGCGUGUAUGAAGAAGGCCUUCGGGUUGUAAAGUACUUUCAGCGGGGAUGAAGGGAGUAAAGUUAAUACCUUUGCUCAUUGACGUUACCCGCAGAAGAAGCACCGGCUAACUCCGUG